rnacentral:rRNA from 1 species
CACGUAGGGGGCAAGCGUUGUCCGGAUUUAUUGGGCGUAAAGAGCUCGUAGGUGGUUCGGUAAGUCGGGUGUUAAACCCCCAGGCUCAACCUGGGGACGCCACUCGAUACUGCUGUGACUUGAGUCCGGUAGGGGAGCGUGGAAUUCCUGGUGUAGCGGUGAAAUGCGCAGAUAUCAGGAGGAACACCAGCGGCGAAGGAGGCGCUCUGGGCCGAUACUGACGCUGAGGAGCGAAAGCGUGGGGAGCGAACAGG